rnacentral:snRNA from 1 species
GGAUGACAGGCCGAUCUGGCUACAACACCUGUCAGCCCAUUGGUCACCUGGGUUGAUUAAGCUGCUCUUGGUGGCAAGGUAGGCGGACUCUUCCUCCCUCUCUGCUCCAUGUGUGUCCCUCCCAACGCUGCCAGCUCAGUCUAAGACCUUCCCCUCAUAGAGGAGGAUCAACCUUAGGCCAAGGGUAAAUGAGUAGCUCUGCACCCCUGCCAGAACGUCCAAACAUGCUCUCACAGUGAGAGUGGAGCCAGGGGUGGUAGUACGUGCCUUCAAUCCUAGAACUUGGGAAGCUACUG